rnacentral:rRNA from 1 species
GAUGAACGCUGACAGAAUGCUUAACACAUGCAAGUCAACUGUGGCGGACGGGUGAGUAACGCGUAAAGAACUUGCCCACCAGCUAGGGACACAUUUUGGAAACGAAGGCUAAAACUGAAUACUGUGAGGGAGUUUUCCGUCCCAUUAGCAAGUGGGGGAGGUAACGGCUCACAAAGGCGAGGAUGUGUAGCCGGCCUGAGAGGGUGUUCGGCAAAAAGGGGACUGGGACACGGCCCUUACUCCUGCGGGAGGCAGCAGUGGGGAAUAUUGGACAAUGGACCAAAGUCUGAUCCAGCAAUUCUGUGUGCACGAUGAAGUUUUCGGAAUGUAAAGUGCUUUCAGUUGGGAAGCGGUACCAACAGAAGAAGUGACGGCUAAAUACGUGCCAGCAGCCGCGGUAAUUC